UCUUUCUUGUGUUAGGUAUUGAAGAUCGCUCACAAGGGAUAUUUCUCUUUGUGAGAAAUUAGGAUUUCUUUGGUAAAUUUCGGGCUCGCUUUUAGGUUUUCUUUCCAUACGUUGGUGAUCGAUUUCAGGGAAGCUUUGCUUUAUGUUUGGUUUUGAUGCAUAGCAAGUAGAAGAUUUAUGCCGUCUUUGUUUACAGAUUUAGUUUCUGUUCAAAUAUGUUGUUGAUCGCUUACAGGGAAGAACUUCUUCGUUACAAAUUAGGGCUUCUUUUAUUGCGCCGGUAAAGGCCUUCAGGGAAGGUUUUCUUGCAAUACCUUGGUGAUGGCUUUCAGGGAAGGUUUUGUUUGUGUUUUUGGUUUUGAUGCAUCUUUGUCACAGAAUUGUCAAUAGCCAAUAGAAGAUUCCUUCCUAUCAUCUUUGUUACAGAAUUGGUUUUUCUUCCAAUACGUUGUUGAUCGCGUGCAGUAAAGAUUUUUCUUCGUUACAAAUUAGGGGUUCUUUCUAAUACGUUGGCGCGUGCUUCAGGGAAGGUUGUCAUCUUCACAAAUUAGGGUUUCUUUCAAGACGUUGGCAAUGCUUUCAGGGAGGAUCUUCUUUUCGCUGGGUUUCGAUGGAUUGCCAGCGGAAGAUUUCUAUAAUCUUUAUUACGAAUUUGUAGUUCCUUCCAAUACUUCGUUGAACGUUGCAGGGAAGAUUUCUAGUUACACACAGGGCUUCUUUUUCCCCGUUGGUGAAUGCUUCUUGGAAGGCCGCCUUCUUCACAAAUUAGGAUUUCUUUUAAGAUUUUGUUCGCUUUCAGGGAAGAUCUUCGUGCUAUGUUUAAUUUUACAAAUUUGGCUUCUUCCAAUACUUUGUAAAUUUUUUGCAGGGAAGAUUUUCUUGGUUACAUAUCAGGGUUUUUUUUAAUAUGCUGGUGAAUGCUUCAGCCAAGGUUGUAUUCAACAUAGGGUUUUGAAGAUGGUGGUGAUCGGUUCCGGGAGGAUCUUCUUUGUGUUAGGUGAUGUAUAGCUACUUGCUUCUCAUCAUCUUUGGGCUUUCUUGCAAAAAAAUUUGUUGAUCGCUUGCAGGGUAGAUUUUCUUCGUCACAGAUUAGGAUUAGUGAUGGCUUUCAGGGGAGGUUUGCUUCGUAGGGUUUUCUUUCAAGACCUUGGUGAUCGCUUUCAGGGAAGAUCUUCUUCGUGUUAGGUUUUGAUGCAUCCCUACUUGAUCUAUCAUCUUUGGUACCAAUUUGGGUUUUCUUCCCGAAAAGCUUUGUUGAUGGCUUGCAGGGAUGUUAUGAGCAGGCUCAUAACAAGGGAAUAUUUUAAUUAUUUCGGAUUAGGGUUCUUUCAAUAUUGAAUUAUUCCUUUCAUGGGAAGGUUUUCUUCGUCACAAUUUAGAGGUUUCUUCCAGUAAGUUUGAUGACCGCCUUGGGAAUAUCUGUGUGUUAGGUUUUGAUGCAUCGCUGGUAAGUAUUCCUAUCAUUCUUGUAACAAAUUCGGUUUUCGUCCUAUAUGUUGUCGAUAUAACUUCGCUAAAGAUAAUUUCUUUCAAUAUGGUGUGGAUCAUUUUUGUGUGAUUCGUUUUGUCGAGGGAGAUUGAUGGCAGAGACUUUUGCUUCUUGCUUAUGCAUCCUAAUAAUAUAAAGUAGUGUUUGUGAAUUUAGGCUUUUUGUGUAUAAAAAGGCGAAAUGUUUAUUUUUUCCCCUCUUUAUAUUUCGUGUUGUUUAAAAAAUUUCUAUAUAUUUAUUUUCUCAGACGUCCCUAUUCCUUGUUUGAUUUAUUUUAUAGGUUUUGCUGUGCAUCAGCUUUUUAAAACGUUGGGUUCUUGCAAAGUUGGCUUCUCGGCGUUGGUUUGUUUUUGUUUUUUUAAAAUCAUUCUAAAUGUCGUAUCUUUAUGGUUAGCUAGCUUGGUUAUCAUGAAUUCAAAAAUUUUCAUUGCUUCCAUGUUUGACACUUGGUGCUUGGAUUGUGUGUAUUUCAGGUUGCGGUUGCGCAAUUUUUUAUGAAUAUCAGCGGUGCUCAGCAUGUUUCUUCUGAUUGGAACUUUGAUCAGCAUUAGCGCUUAUUAUCAUUUGGAAAGUAUAACUGCUGUAUCGUGUUGUUGAUUGUGCCUUUCUGAUUCUUGGUUUUACUAUUUUGGUGCUAGCAUAUCUACAAAGAGGGCAGAGAUAUUGAUUGGGUCUUUCUUUUUCUUGGUCGACAGAGUUUGAUGUGGCUAUAAGAUCUCUCUUCCUAUCGAUUUCGAAGUGAUUCUUUCUGCUUGUUCUAAUUUUCUUUGUUCUUGUUUUAAUAUUGCGGCUGCUACUACUUUUGUUUGGCAGUACGUCAUGUCAUCGCGGUUUUAUUGAUAUUUAAGUUCACUCCUGGGGGCGAAUAACCAUUUUGCGGCCUUUGGACUUCAGUCUAUGCGCAGAACCAUCUUUUGAAAGUAAAAUCACGGGUUUUUGCUUUACCAUCUUGUGAUUGACAUUUAGGCGUUUUGAUAUUUGGAUUGAUUUAAGUUACAUUACUGGAUUUGCGUCACCAAUUGGUAAUUUCAGAUUAAUGCUUAUUGAAUUACACGAAGUAAGUCGGUGGGUAUGUGAACCAGGUCUGUUGUCUGAAGUUUUUCCAGUUCCGUGAGGAUAUUUGAGCACCGAGUAACAUAUGCUUCUGCCGGUGAUAUUUGUUUUCUGGUUUUGUGAUGUGUAGUUUCCAAUUCCUUGGAGUUUUAAGGUAUACGGACGAGGAAGGUGUUUGAAAAUGUCGCUGAUGUUGGGAAUGUUAGCUAGGUCUGCAAUUUGAAGUUUUUCCAGUUUUGGGUGGAUAUUUGAGCACAGAGUAACAUAUGCUUCUGCCGUUGAUAUUUGUUUUCGGGUUUUGUGACUUGGAGUUUCCUAUUUCAUGAAGUUUUUGGAAUACUGAUGAGGAAGGUUUUUGAAAAUAUGUGGUUGACCUGUUGACAGGUGGAGGUUGUGAUUUGGGCUUUCUUGUGUUUGAGCAAGAGUUUUUGAAUUUGGUCUUUCUUCGGAAAUAAGUUUUGCUGUGCAUCGGCUUUUUACAACUUUGGGUUCUUGCAAAGUUGGAUUCUCAAUGUUGGUUUGUUUUUGUUUUUUAAAAUCAUUGCUAAAUAUUUUAUCGUCAUGGUUAGCUGGCUUGGUUAUAAUUCAUUUAAAAGUUUCCAUUGCUUCGUAUUUCACGCUUGGUGCUUGGAUUGUGUGUAUUUCAGGCUGCAGUUGCGCAAUUUUUUAUGAAUAUCGGCGGUGCUCAGCAUGUUUGUUCUGGUUUUUGUUUCUACCGGCAUCUAAUUGCACUCAUCACUGAUACUUAAGAACUUAAAAUUUUCAGUUCGUUCAUUUAGUUGCGACUUCUUAUGCACAGAUUGAAACUUUCUUCAGCAUUGUCGUUUAUUAUCAUUUGGAAUGUGUAACUGCUGUAUCGUAUUGUUGAUUGUGGCUGGCUGAUUCUUGGUUUCACUACUCUUGUCAUUCUAAAAAAGGUGUGAAGAAUUUGGUGCUAGAAUAUCUCAAAGAGGGUGGAGAUAUUGAUUGGGGCUUUCUUUUUACUGGUCUCCAGAGUUUGAUGUGGCUAUAAGUUCUCUCUUCCUUCGAUUCCGAAGUGAUUCUUUUUGCUUGUUCUAAUUUUCUUUGUUCUUGCUUUAAUGUUGUGGCUGCUACUACUUUUGUUUGGCAGUACGUCAUGUCGUCGCGGUUUUAUUGGUAUUUAAAUUCACUCCUGGGGGCGAAUAAUCAUUUUGCGGCCUUUGGACUUCAGUUUCUGCGCAGAACAAUCUUUUGAAAGUAAAAACACUGGUUUUGGCUUUACCAUUUUGUGAUUGACAUUUAGGCGUUUUGAUAUUUUGAUUGAUUUAAGUUAAGAUUGCUGGAUUUGCGUCACCAAUUGGUAAUUUCAGAUUAAUUAACAUUGAAUUACUCGAAGUAAGUUGGUGGGCAUGUGAACCAGGUCCGUAGUCUGAAGAUUUUCCAGUUCUGUGAGGAUAUCUGAGUACCGAAUAACAUAUGCUUCUGCAGGUGAUAUUUGUUUUCUGGUUUUGUGAUGUGUAGUUUCCAAUUCCGUGAAGUUUUUUGAUAUACGGCUGAGGAAGGUGUUUGAAAAUAUGUUGUUGAUCUUGGGAAUGUCAACUAGGUCUGCAAUGUGAUGUUUUUCCAGUUUUGAGCGGAUAUUUGAGCACCGAGUAACAUAUGCUUCUGCCGGUGAUAUUUGUUUCCUGGUUUUGUGACUUGUAGUUUCCUAUUCCAUGAAGUUUUUCGGAUACUGAUGAGGAAGGUGUUUGAAAAUAUGUCGAUGACCAGUUCUCAAGUGGAGGUUGUGAUUUGGGAUUUCUUGUGUUUGGGCAGGAGUGAUUGAAUUUGUUCUUUCUGCGAAAAUAAGUGAAAAUGCUUUUUCUUCUCUCCCCCUCUUUAUUUCACACGUUGUUUAGAAGUCUCUACGAUAUGCUGUUCUCUCAGAAAUGUCCCCAUUCCUUGUUUUGUUUUAUUUUGUAGGUUUUGCUGUGCAUCGGCUUUUUACAACUUUGGGUUCUUGCAAAGUUGGAUUCUCGAUGUUGGUUUGUUUUUGAUUUUUAAAAUCAUUUCUAAAUAUUGUAUCGUUAUGGUUAGCUGUCUUGGUUGUCACUAAUUUAAAAGUUUCCAUUGCUUCGUAGUUCACGCUUGGUGCUUGGAUUGUGUGUAUUUCAGGUUGCGGUUGCGCAAUUUUUUAUGAAUAUCGGCGGUGCUCAGCAUGUUUGUUCUGGUUUUUGUUUCUUCCAGCAUCUAAUUGCACUCUUCACUGAUACUUAAGAACUUAAAAUUUUCAGUUCGUUCAUUUAGUUGCGACUUCUUAUGCACAGAUUGAAACUUUCUUCAGCAUUGUCGUUUAUUAUCAUUUGGAAUGUGUAACUGCUGUAUCGUAUUGUUGAUUGUGGCUGGCUGAUUCUUGGUUUCACUACUCUUGUAAUUCUGAAGAAGGUGUGAAGAAUUUCGUGAAACUAUAUCUACAAAGAGGGCGGAGAUAUUGAUUGGGGCUUUCUUUUUCCUGGUCUCCAGAGUUUGAUGUGGCUAUAAGUGCUCUUUUCCUCUCGAUUUCGAAGUGAUUCUUUUUGCUUGUUCUAAUGUUCUUUGUUCUUGCUUUAAUGUUGCGGUUGCUACUACUUUUGUUUGGCAGUACGUCAUGUCGUCGCGGUUUUAUUGGUAUUUAAGUUCACUCCUCAGGGCGAAUAACCAUUUUGCGGCCUUUGGACUUUGUGCGCAAAACCAUCUUUUGAUGGUAAAAUCACGGGUUUUUGCUUUACCAUCUUGUGAUUGACAUUUUGGCGUUUUGAUAUUUGGAUUGAUUUAAGUUACAUUACUGGAUUUGCGUCACCAAUUGAUAAUUUCAGAUUAAUGCUUAUUGAAUUUCACGAAGUAAGUCGGUGGGUAUGUGAACAAGGUCUGUUGUCUGAAGUUUUUCCAGUUCUGUGAGGAUAUUUGAGCACGGAGUAACAUAUGCUUCUGCCGGUGAUAUUUGCUUUCUGGUUUUGUGAUGUGUAGUUUCCAAUUCCUUGAAGUUUUAUGGUAUACGGACGAGGAAGGUGUUUGAAAAUAUCGUUGAUGUUGGGCAUGUCGACUUGGUCUGCAAUUUGAAGUUUUUCCAGUUUUGGGCGGGUAUUUGAGCACAGAGUGACAUAUGCUUCUGCCGUUGAUAUUUGUUUUCGGGUUUUGUGACUUGUAGUUUCCUAUUUAAGUUUUUGGGAUACUGAUGAGGAUGGUGUUUGAAAAUAUGUGGUUGACAGGUGGAGGUUGUGAUUUGGGAUUUCUUGUGUUUGGGCAGGAGUGAUUGAAUUUGUUCUUUCUGCGAAAAUAAGUGAAAAUGCUUUUUCUUCUCCCCCCCUCUUUAUUUCACACGUUGUUUAGAAGUCUCUACGAUAUGCUGUUCUUUCAGAAAUGUCCCCAUUCCUUGUUUUGUUUUAUUUUGUAGGUUUUGCUGUGCAUCGGCAUUUUACAACUUUGGGUUCUUGCAAAGUUGGAUUCUCGAUGUUGGUUUGUUUUUGAUUUUUAAAAUCAUUCCUAAAUAUUGUAUCGUUAUGGUUAGCUGUCUUGGUUGUCACUAAUUUAAAAGUUUCCAUUGCUUCGUAGUUCACGCUUGGUGCUUGGAUUGUGUGUAUUUCAGGUUGCGGUUGCGCAAUUUUUUAUGAAUAUCGGCGGUGCUCAGCAUGUUUGUUCUGGUUUUUGUUUCUUCCAGCAUCUAAUUGC